rnacentral:lncRNA from 1 species
UCCUCUGCAAGUCCCAGAACUUUAUUUGUAAAUGGGGAAAACGGAGAACCCUGGCAGCUGGCAACCCCCCCUCCCAGCCCCCAGAGACACAGAGGGCUAAAGGAGCCUGCCUGUGAAAAGUGCCUCCGCUUUGGGCUAGUUUUGCAAAAGUUGCGAGGAGCGCAGCGGGACGGAGGGCUGUGGAGGGAGGGGGCAGGACGGGGAUGCAUGUGAUCGUCAGGCUUACCAGCCAGACAGACGGACAAGCGCUCCGCUCCGCCGGCGUUUGGCAGUGGCCACAGUCUCACGGCUCCAUUUCAUGGGACAUCUCAGAAGAUUUGCAGUGGUUUUGGAAUGAGAUCAGUAGAUGA